rnacentral:rRNA from 1 species
AGGACAAACGCUGGCGGCGUGCAUAAAACAUGCAAGUCGGACGAACAAAAUCCCGCAAGGGAUUAGUUAGUGGCGAACGGCUGAGUAACACGUAGGUGACCUGCCCCGAAGUGGGGGACAACUCGCCGAAAGGCGAGCUAAUACCGCAUGUGACCACCGGUUCGUUCCGGUGCUCAAAGCAGUAAUGCGCUUCGGGAGGGGCCUGCGGCGGAUUAGCUAGUUGGUGGGGUAAUGGCCUACCAAGGCUUCGAUCCGUAGCUGGUCUGAGAGGAUGGCCAGCCAGACUGGGACUGAGACACGGCCCAGACUCCUACGGGAGGCAGCAGUUAGGAAUUUGUGCAAUGGGGGAAACCCUGACACAGCCACGCCGCGUGCGGGAUGAAGGCCUUCGGGUCGUAAACCGCUUUUCUCAAGGAAGACACCCGACGGUACUUGAGGAAUAAGCAACGGCUAACUACGUGCCAGCAGCCGC